rnacentral:rRNA from 1 species
ACCCGCUGAACUUAAGCAUAUCAAUAAGCGGAGGAAAAGAAACCAACAGGGAUUGCCUCAGUAACGGCGAGUGAAGCGGCAACAGCUCAAAUUUGAAAUCUGGCUCUUUCAGGGUCCGAGUUGUAAUUUGUAGAGGAUGUUUCGGGUGUGGCUCCGGUCUAAGUUCCUUGGAACAGGACGUCAUAGAGGGUGAGAAUCCCGUAUGUGACUGGUAGCCUAUGCUCAUGUGAAACUCCUUCGACGAGUCGAGUUGUUUGGGAAUGCAGCUCAAAAUGGGUGGUAAAUUUCAUCUAAAGCUAAAUAUUGGCCAGAGACCGAUAGCGCACAAGUAGAGUGAUCGAAAGAUGAAAAGCACUUUGGAAAGAGAGUUAAACAGUACGUGAAAUUGUUGAAAGGGAAGCGCUUGCAACCAGACUUGCAUGUAGCUGAUCAACCGGUGUUCUCACCGGUGCACUCAGUUGCGUUCAGGCCAGCAUCGGUUUCGACGGUUGGAUAAAGGCCUUGGGAAUGUAGCUUCUUUCGGGGAGUGUUAUAGCCCAGGGUGCAAUGCAGCCUGUCGGGACCGAGGACCGCGCUUCGGCUAGGAUGCUGGCGUAAUGGUUGUAAGCGACCCGUCUUGAAACACGGACCAAGGAGUCUAACAUCUAUGCGAGUGUUUGGGUGUCAAACCCAUACGCGUAAUGAAAGUGAACGGAGGUGAGAACCCUUAAGGGUGCAUCAUCGACCGAUCCUGAUGUCUUCGGAUGGAUUUGAGUAAGAGCAUAGCUGUUGGGACCCGAAAGAUGGUGAACUAUGCCUGAAUAGGGUGAAGCCAGAGGAAACUCUGGUGGAGGCUCGCAGCGGUUCUGACGUGCAAAUCGAUCGUCAAAUUUGGGUAUAGGGGCGAAAGACUAAUCGAACCAUCUAGUAGCUGGUUCCUGCCGAAGUUUCCCUCAGGAA